rnacentral:rRNA from 1 species
UACGGAAGGCAGCAGUGGGGAAUAUUGCACAAUGGGCGCAAGCCUGAUGCAGCCAUGCCGCGUGUAUGAAAAAGGCCUUCGGGUUGUAAAGUACUUUCAGUCGUGAGGAAGGUGUUAAGGUUAAUAACCUUAGCAAUUGACGUUAGCGACAGAAGAAGCACCGGCUAACUCCGUGCCAGCAGCCGCGGUAAUACGGAGGGUGCGAGCGUUAAUCGGAAUUACUGGGCGUAAAGGGCACGCAGGCGGUUAAUAAGUUGGAUGUGAAAUCCCCGGGCUUAACCUGGGAAUGGCAUUCAAGACUGGUUAGCUAGAGUCUUGUAGAGGGGGGUAGAAUUCCAUGUGUAGCGGUGAAAUGCGUAGAGAUGUGGAGGAAUACCGGUGGCGAAGGCGGCCCCUGGGACAAAGACUGACGCUCAUGUGCGAAAGCGUGGGGAGCAAACAGGGAUUAGAUAC